AAACAAAAAAAAAAAAACCCACCACUCACUCACCUCACCGUCACCACUCCCUCACCUCACACGUCAAACACCUCACCACUCCUCACCUCACACACGGCCAUCAACGGCGGCUGCUGAAGGAGUUCCUAGGCAACGAUCAACGGCGGCACAAGGACGGGCUGAUCUCCGCCGUCGGCAACGAUCAACGAAGGCAGAAGGAUGGGCUGAUGUUCUUCGUUGACAAUGAUCAACGGCGGCACAAGCAU
rnacentral:lncRNA from 1 species